AGAUAAAUUGAGCAUAAGCAGGAUAAGAAGUGAUAUACCGAAAUCUCUUACCGUCAAACGUAAAACAAAUUGGGGCUCAUGAUUGCUGAUUUUAUCAUCUACAUGGAACCCAAGUUGAUGAUAUUUCAUUUUCCCUUUUCUAUUCUUAGUUCUUAUGUUUAUUUGUGGUGACCAACUUGGCAUCCUUAGUAGCAUGUUUAUUUUUUAUUUAUUUUUGAUGACGUCCAUAUGGAACAAUAACCUUCAAAUAGUAAACUAGCCUACUGUAGAAAUUGCAUUAGAAGGAUCCUGUAGACAUGGCA
rnacentral:lncRNA from 1 species